UACGUAGGGUGCGAGCGUUAAUCGGAAUUACUGGGCGUAAAGGGUGCGCAGGCGGUCUCGUAAGCUGGGUGUGAAAGCCCCGGGCUUAACCUGGGAAUGGCAUUCAGGACUGCGAGGCUUUGAGUGUGGCAGAGGGAGGUGGAAUUCCACGUGUAGCAGUGAAAUGCGUAGAGAUGUGGAGGAACACCGGAGGCGAAGGCGGCUUGCUGGGCUCGGUCUGACGCUGAGGCGCGAAAGCGUGGGGAGCGAACAGG
rnacentral:rRNA from 1 species